rnacentral:rRNA from 1 species
CACCGCGGUUAUACGAGAGGCUCAAGUUGAUAAACACCGGCGUAAAAUGUGGUUGACAUACCAUUGCACUAAAGCUAAACAUCUUCAAAGCUGUUAUACCCACACGAAGACAGGAAAACCUUCUACGAAAGUGGCUUUAAAUGAAUGCUAACCCACGAAAACUAGGAAA